UACGGAGGGUGCAAGCGUUAUCCGGAUUCACUGGGUUUAAAGGGUGCGUAGGCGGGCAGGUAAGUCCGUGGUGAAAUCUCUGAGCUUAACUCAGAAACUGCCAUGGAUACUAUUUGUCUUGAAUAUUGUGGAGGUAAGCGGAAUAUGUCAUGUAGCGGUGAAAUGCUUAGAUAUGACAUAGAACACCAAUUGCGAAGGCAGCUCACUACACAAUCAUUGACGCUGAGGCACGAAAGCGUGGGGAUCAAACAGG
rnacentral:rRNA from 1 species